rnacentral:ncRNA from 2 species
UAAUUGCAGAAAGUAGGGGAAGAACGGUGAAAACCCGUCGCAACAGUCAUUACGGUUAUAGUCCGAUUGCCUACCCGUUA